rnacentral:rRNA from 1 species
UGCGUAGGUGGUCGUUUAAGUCUGUUGUGAAAGCCCUGGGCUCAACCUGGGAACUGCAGUGGAAACUGGACGACUAGAGUGUGGUAGAGGGUAGCGGAAUUCCUGGUGUAGCAGUGAAAUGCGUAGAGAUCAGGAGGAACAUCCAUGGCGAAGGCAGCUACCCGGACCAACACUGACACUGAGGCACGAAAGCGUGGGGAGCAAACA